rnacentral:piRNA from 1 species
UGGCAAGACAAGUGGAACAUG